AUGAGGGGUCCCCACAUAAAACAGGGUGGGCGUCAAAACCUUAACGACCAUAACCCGGCUUUGACCCUCCACCCAGAACCUCCGUGCCCAGCAGCCCAGCCUCAAGUGUCCAACAUAAUUAAGCACAGUGUGACCGUGAGCUGGACGCCUCCAGCCCUACGAUGGAGGAGCUCCAGUUCUGGGCUGCGUCCUGGAGAAGAGGAAGAAAGGCAGCACCAUGUGGACUUGCUCACAGACACGUCUUACUCAGUGGGAGGACUGGUGAGUGAGGUGGAGUACGAGUUCCGAGUCACCAGCGUGAACAGGGCUGGAGCAGGAAGCCCCAGCAGCGUCGCUAACCCAGCGCUGGCCAAAGACCCCCCCCACAGGAGUUGUUUACCCCCUCACCGUGGGGGGCUUCGGAAGAAGAAAAGGUACCACUUCCACGUCCGGGCUGUGAGUGAAGGCGGGCUGGGGGAGCCCACUUAGCUGCUGUAGGGGGCGCUGGCAAUGCCCCCACCUGGUAACAUAAGAAGUAUAAAAACAUCACAUUACUUGUUAUUUCAUGGGGACAUUGUCUUCUCUUUAUUUAGUUUAUUUCCUGUUUCAUGUUCUAUUCAGUGGCUCCCAGGUUUUACCUGCGGUGAAAGCUGAGGCCCCAAAUGGUGGUUUGAGCUGGGUUCUCCCAGAUCUCCCCUGGCCGCCAGAGAACCUGAGCACUGACGAUGUGAUCCUCAAACGGGACACCCCCCCUUCCUAAUGUGUCUUCAGCAGCAAGUACACCAUCCUGGUUCUCAUGGGGCGCAAGCGCUGACCCACGGUGGUCCACUCUGACCUCGGGUGCUGUCUCUGUGGCUGCUGCAGCUCUGCCUGGGGGGCUCUGUGUGAGCGGCUUGGGUGGCAACACCUGCCCUCCUGGAACUGAAGGUGCGUGGGCUCCCUGGCUGCUAGGAUUCUUUCCUCUGCUUGUUGGAUGGGCGUAGUGGCUCAUCAUGGCUAUUAUUAAGUAGUAUGACAUUAUGUAUAACUAUAUGUAUGUAUACGAUAUAUAUAAGUAUGUGCACAUACCUUAACACUAUUAUUGGUAUUAGUAUUAAUCUCCAAGGUAAACCACAGUACAGCAGUUGUUUAGUUAUGAAUGUGUUAGCCCAAGGUAAAUCCCUGCUCAUUUAUUUUGCACCGAUUGUUUGCUUAACUGAGUUGCUUGGUUUCGGCAGCUGGUUGGUUCAGCGUAACACAUGCUGCUUGUUGAACUGCUGGACAGAACAACAAAAAAAGUAUACCAUUACUGGGCUGCUUCCUGGGAGGAGGUACUACUUCAGGGUUCACUAUUGGGGACAGUGAAUUGUUGGACACAAAGGAAACUUUGGUCAUAGCCAAGGAAAAAGGUGAGUCAGCAGACAUUAGUCCAGAUUGAUAAUACAAGCUCUUAUCCCCAGUUUAUUUUGUGUUUUGUCUGACAUUUGUGUAUAUAUUCAUAUCUCUCUUA
rnacentral:lncRNA from 1 species